rnacentral:sRNA from 1 species
UACCAUGAUCUCAAUAUUUGGGGAACUC